rnacentral:lncRNA from 1 species
AUGGAAUUCCAGUGGAAGCUAUUUCAAAUCCUGAAAGAUGAUGCUGUGAAAGUGCUACACUCAAUAUGCCAGCACAUCUGGAAAACUCAGCAGUGGCCACAGGACUGGAAAAGGUCAAUUUUCAUUCCAAUCUCAAAGAAAGGCAAUGCCAAAGAAUGCUCAAACUACUGCACAAUUGCACUCAUCUCACAUGCUAGUAAAGUAAUGCUCAAAAUUCUCCAAGCCAGGCUUCAGCAAUACGUGAACCGUGAACUUCCAGAGGUUCAAGCUGGUUUUAGAAAAGGCAGAGGAACCAGAGAUCAAAUUGCCAACAUCCGAUGGAUCAUGGACAAAGCAAGAGAGUUCCAGAAAAACAUCUCUUUCUGCUUUAUUGACUAUGCCAAAGCCUUUGACUGUGUGGAUCACAAUAAACUGUGGAAAAUUCUGAAAGAGAUGGGAAUACCAGACCACCUGACCUGCCUCUUGAGAAACCUACAUGCAGGUCAGGAAGCAACAGUUAGAACUGGACAUGGAACAACAGACUGGGUACAAAUAGGAAAAGGAGUACAUCAAGGCUGUAUAUUGUCACCCUGCUUAUUUAGCUUAUAUGCAGAGUACAUCAUGAGAAACGCUGGGCUGGAAGAAGCACAAGCUGGAAUCAAGAUUGCCAGGAGAAAUAUCAAUCACCUCAGAUAUGCAGAUGACACCACCCUUAGGGCAGAAAGUGAAGAACUAGAGAGCCUCUUGAUGAAAGUGAAAGAGGAGAGUGAAAAAGUUGGCUUAAAGCUCAACAGUCAGAAAAUGAAGAUCAUGGCAUCUGGUCCCAUCACUUCAUGGCAAAUAGAUGGGGAAACAGUGGAAACAACAGCUGACUUUAUUUUUCUGGGCUCCAAAAUCACUGCAGAUGGUGAUUGCAGCCAUGAAUUUAAAAGAUGCUUACUCCUUGGAAGGAAAGUUAUGAUCAAUCUAGACAGCAUAUUAAAAAGCAGAGACAUUACUUUGCCAACAAAGGUCCAUCUAAUCAAGGCUAUGGUUUUUCCAGUUGUCAUGUAUGGAUGUGAGAGUUGGACUGUGAAGAAGGCUGAGUGCUGA